UGGGGAAUAUUGCACAAUGGGCGCAAGCCUGAUGCAGCCAUGCCGCGUGUGUGAAGAAGGCCUUCGGGUUGUAAAGCACUUUCAGCGGGGAGGAAGGCGUUAAGGUUAAUAACCUUGGCGAUUGACGUUACCCGCAGAAGAAGCACCGGCUAACUCCGUGCCAGCAGCCGCGGUAAUACGGAGGGUGCAAGCGUUUAUCGGAAUUACUGGGCGUAAAGCGCACGCAGGCGGUCUGUCAAGUCGGAUGUGAAAUCCCCGGGCUCAACCUGGGAACUGCAUUCGAAACUGGCAGGCUAGAGUCUUGUAGAGGGGGGUAGAAUUCCAGGUGUAGCGGUGAAAUGCGUAGAGAUCUGGAGGAAUACCGGUGGCGAAGGCGGCCCCCUGGACAAAGACUGACGCUCAGGUGCGAAAGCGUGGGGAGCAAACAGG
rnacentral:rRNA from 1 species